rnacentral:lncRNA from 10 species
GGCGUGAGUCACCAAGCCCGGCCUAAGGGCCCGUUUUUAUAAGAUGAUGCCUUCUGUGCGUCCUCACAUGACAGAAGAAAUGAACAAGCUCCCUUAGACAUCUUUAUAAGGGCACUAAUCCCAUUUGUAAGGAUAUGACUUCAUGGGGAUGCUCUCAUGACUUAAUCACCUUCAAAUGUCCCUACCACUUAAUACAGUUGCACUGGUGAUAAGGUUACAACAUAUGAAUUUUGGGGGGACAUAACAUUCAGACCAUAGCAGUGAUUUACAGUCCUGUAAGUGAACAUUCCAGGGAAGCUGGCUUUUGGGUUUGGCUGAUCUAGGAUUUGGUUUUGCCACUAGGAUUUUUUCUUGGCUCUCACUUCUGGGUUGGCUCCAUCCUCAAGCUCUACAAGUGCGCCUUUGGCAUGCCAGUCACUCCUCCCACAAUGGAGGAUGUCUGCCAGCUCCUCUCCAGCCACCCAUUCUCACAGGGGGUGAGCCAGACCACAUGUGCUAAUCCAGGAGCACAGCUCAGG